UACGUAGGGUGCGAGCGUUGUCCGGAAUUACUGGGCGUAAAGAGCUCGUAGGUGGUUUGUCGCGUUGUUCGUGAAAUCUCACGGCUUAACUGUGAGCGUGCGGGCGAUACGGGCAGACUGGAGUACUGCAGGGGAGACUGGAAUUCCUGGUGUAGCGGUGGAAUGCGCAGAUAUCAGGAGGAACACCGGUGGCGAAGGCAGGUCUCUGAGCCACUACUGACGCUGAGAAGCGAAAGCAUGGGGAGCGAACAGG
rnacentral:rRNA from 1 species